rnacentral:rRNA from 1 species
GAUGAACGCUGGCGGCGUGCCUAAUACAUGCAAGUCGAGCGAACGGACGAGAUGCUUGCUUCUCUGAUGUUAGCGGCGGACGGGUGAGUAACACGUGGAUAACCUACCUAUAAGACUGGGAUAACUUCGGGAAACCGGAGCUAAUACCGGAGAAUAUUUUGAACCGUAUGGUUCAAAAGUGAAAGACGGCUUUGUUGUCUCUUAUAGAUGGAUCCGCGCUGCAUUAGCUAGUUGGUAAGGUAACGGCUUACAAAGGCAACGAUGCAUAGCCGACCUGAGAGGGUGAUCGGCCACACUGGAACUGAGACACGGCCCAGACUCCUACGGGAGGCAGCAGUAGGGAAUCUUCCGCAAUGGGCGAAAGCCUGACGGAGCAACGCCGCGUGAGUGAUGAAGGUCUUCGGAUCGUAAAACUCUGUUAUUAGGGAAGAACAUAUGUGUAAGUAACUGUGCACAUCUUGACGGUACCUAAUCAGAAAGCCACGGCUAACUACGUG